UACAGAGGUCUCAAGCGUUGUUCGGAUUCAUUGGGCGUAAAGGGUGCGUAGGCGGCGCGGUAAGUCGGAUGUGAAAUCUCGGAGCUUAACUUCGAAACUGCAUUCGAUACUGCCGUGCUUGAGGACUGGAGAGGAGACUGGAAUUUACGGUGUAGCGGUGAAAUGCGUAGAUAUCGUAAGGAAGACCAGUGGCGAAGGCGCUCUGCUAGGCCGCAACUGACACUGAGGGACGAAAGCUAGGGGAGCGAAUGGG
rnacentral:rRNA from 1 species